rnacentral:rRNA from 1 species
AUGAACGCUAGCGGCAGGCUUAACACAUGCAAGUCAGGGGCAGCGAGAGAGUAGCAAUACUUUUGUCGGCGACCGGCGGACGGGUGCGUAACGCGUAUGCAACCUACCUUAUACAGGGGGAUAACCUUUCGAAAAGGGAGACUAAUACCGCAUAACAUACUUUGAGGCAUCUUGAGGUAAUUAAAUCUUCGGAGGUAUAAGAUGGGCAUGCGUAGCAUUAGCUAGAUGGUGCGGUAACGGCGUACCAUGGCGACGAUGCUUAGGGGUUCUGAGAGGAAGGUCCCCCACACUGGUACUGAGAUACGGACCAGACUCCUACGGGAGGCAGCAGUGAGGAAUAUUGGUCAAUGGUCGGAAGACUGAACCAGCCAUGCCGCGUGCAGGAAGAAUGUCUUAUGGAUUGUAAACUGCUUUUGUAUGGGGCUAAUAAUAACUUUGCGAAGUUAGAUGCAGGUACCAUACGAAUAAGGAUCGGCUAACUCCGUG